AAAGUUACUCAAGCGCGCACAAUGAAUGCCUUGACGUAAGAUACCGAAGAAGGACGUGAU
rnacentral:rRNA from 1 species